UACGUAGGGGGCAAGCGUUGUCCGGAAUUAUUGGGCGUAAAGAGCGUGUAGGCGGCCAGAUAAGUCCGCUGUGAAAUCUCGAGGCUCAACUUCGAGCUGUCGGUGGAAACUAUCUGGCUAGAGUCCGGAAGAGGAGAAUGGAAUUCCUGGUGUAGCGGUGAAAUGCGCAGAUAUCAGGAAGAACACCCGUGGCGAAGGCGGUUCUCUGGGACGGUACUGACGCUGAGACGCGAAAGCGUGGGGAGCAAACAGG
rnacentral:rRNA from 1 species